rnacentral:tRNA from 1 species
GGGAAUGUUACUUAACUGGCAAAGUAGUACGCUUCUAAUGUACUUUAUGCAGGUUCGAGUCCUGUCACUUCCA